rnacentral:rRNA from 1 species
CCUACGGGAGGCAGCAGUGAGGAAUAUUGGUCAAUGUCCGUAAGGCUGAACCAGCCAAGUAGCGUGAGGGAAGACUGCCCUAUGGGUUGUAAACCUCUUUUAUGCGGGGAUAAAGGUGUCCACGUGUGGGUGUUUGCAGGUACCGCAUGAAUAAGGACCGGCUAAUUCCGUGCCAGCAGCCGCGGUAAUACGGAAGGUCCGGGCGUUAUCCGGAUUGAUUGGGUUUAAAGGGAGCGUAGGCCGGUCUUUAAGCGUGCCGUGAAAUUUUGUGGCUCAACCAUGAGAGUGCGGCGCGAACUGGAGACCUUGAGUGCGCGGAAGGCAGGCGGAAUUCGUGGUGUAGCGGUGAAAUGCUUAGAUAUCACGAAGAACCCCGAUUGCGAAGGCAGCCUGCCGCAGCGUUACUGACGCUGAAGCUCGAAAGCGCGGGUAUCGAACAGGAUUAGAUACCCGGGUAGUC